UACAGAGGUCUCGAGCGUUGUUCGGAUUCAUUGGGCGUAAAGGGCGCGUAGGCGGCGGGGUAAGUCGGGUGUGAAAUUUCGGAGCUUAACUCCGAAACUGCAUUCGAUACUGCGGUGCUUGAGGACUGGAGAGGAGACUGGAAUUCAUGGUGUAGCAGUGAAAUGCGUAGAGAUCAUGAGGAAGACCAGUGGCGAAGGCGGGUCUCUGGACAGUUCCUGACACUGAGACACGAAGGCCAGGGGAGCAAACGGG
rnacentral:rRNA from 1 species